rnacentral:lncRNA from 1 species
UGGUGGUGUAGAUGUUGAAGUUAUAUUUGAGAGCAUGAAUAAAUGAAAUGCAGCUUUGGGGAUGUAUUCAUAAUUAAAAAAUGGUUGAUUGAUGUUCAUGGAAAUUUAGAAGUUAGUAAUGGAAGAGUUUAUUUGUUGAUAAAGAUAUAAAAUAUUAUAAUUGAUUAGAAAUGGUUAUUGCUUACUACAUAUGUUUUCAUAUAAAAUUUAUGCUUAGAUGUUGAAGCUUUGAAUUGGUUACUACAUAUUAAAUUGAUUAUAGGUUGGUUGAUGUUAAUGGAAAUGUAGAAGUUAUGAAUUGUGCCAUACAGUCGAAGUUUUGUUUCUAAAAUUUAUUUUGAUACUUG